rnacentral:rRNA from 1 species
GAUGAACGCUAGCGGGAGGCUUAACACAUGCAAGUCGAGGGGCAGCACGAGGUAGCAAUACUUUGGUGGCGACCGGCGCACGGGUGAGUAACGCGUAUGCAACCUACCCUGUACAGGGGGAUAACCCGGAGAAAUUCGGACUAAUACCCCAUAAAGAUAUUUAGAGGCAUCUUUGAAUAUUUAAAGUUCCGGCGGUACGGGAUGGGCAUGCGUAACAUUAGCUAGUUGGUAAGGUAACGGCUUACCAAGACAACGAUGUUUAGGGGUCCUGAGAGGGUGAUCCCCCACACUGGUACUGAGACACGGACCAGACUCCUACGGGAGGCAGCAGUGAGGAAUAUUGGUCAAUGGGCGCAAGCCUGAACCAGCCAUCCCGCGUGAAGGAAGAAUGCGCUAUGCGUUGUAAACUUCUUUUCCAGGGGAAUAAAAUUUUGUACGUGUACGGAAUUGAAGGUACCCUGGGAAUAAGCAUCGGCUAACUCCGUGCCAGCCGCCGCCGUAACAC